UACGGGGGGAGCAAGCGUUGUUCGGAUUUACUGGGCGUAAAGGGCGCGUAGGCGGCCAGCACAAGUCAGUUGUGAAAUCUCCGAGCUUAACUCGGAAAGGUCAACUGAUACUGUGCGGCUAGAGUGCAGAAGGGGCAACUGGAAUUCUUGGUGUAGCGGUGAAAUGCGUAGAUAUCAAGAGGAACACCUGCGGCGAAGGCGGGUUGCUGGGCUGAUACUGACGCUGAAUCACGAAAGCUAGGGGAGCAAACGGG
rnacentral:rRNA from 1 species